GCAACGAGCGCAACCCUUGUCACUAGUUGCCAUCAUUUGGUUGGGCACUCUAGUGAGACUGCCGGUGACAAACCGGAGGAAGGUGGGGAUGACGUCAAGUCCUCAUGGCCCUUAUGGGUAGGGCUUCACACGUCAUACAAUGGUCGGUACAGAGGGUUGCCAAGCCGCGAGGUGGAGCCAAUCCCUUAAAGCCGAUCGUAGUCCGGAUCGUAGUCUGCAACUCGACUACGUGAAGUCGGAAUCGCUAGUAAUCGCAGAUCAGCAUGCUGCGGUGAAUACGUUCCCGGGUCUU
rnacentral:rRNA from 1 species